rnacentral:rRNA from 1 species
UACGAAGGGUGCAAGCGUUAAUCGGAAUUACUGGGCGUAAAGCGUGCGCAGGCGGUUUUGUAAGUCAGAUGUGAAAUCCCCGGGCUUAACCUAGGAACUGCGUUUGAAACUACACGGCUAGAGUGUGGCAGAGGGGGGUGGAAUUCCACGUGUAGCAGUGAAAUGCGUAGAGAUGUGGAGGAACACCGAUGGCGAAGGCAGCCCCCUGGGUUAACACUGACGCUCAGGCACGAAAGCGUGGGGAGCAAACAGG